GCCUACAAGCAGUCGGAGCCCCCAUGCGGGGUGACGGCGUACCUUUUGUAUAAUGGGUCAACGACUUGGUCUGUCUAGCAAGCUUAAGCCGUUAGGUGUAGGCGCAGCGAAAGCGAGUCUUAAAUGGGCGACAUAGUUAGACGGAUCAGACCCGAAACCGAGUGAUCUAGGCAUGAGCAGGAUGAAGGUUGGGUAACACCAACUGGAGGUCCGAACCG
rnacentral:rRNA from 1 species